GUGAUUUAUGUCGUCGUAGCUGUUUUGCACAGUUCAGCUGAAAUUUUCUUCAUGUUGAUCAAGACUGGGUUUCCAAGCUUUAAGUGCAGAAGCCACUCAGUUCCAUCUCAUUGAUGAUCAUCACAGAUUUGACCAAUUCUGUUUCUGGCCUGGAUUGGUUAGUCCUUCCUUAGGAGGCCUGCUGGCCAUCUGCUCCUAGGAUCUCACCAUAUUGCUGCCAGGCUUAGUGAAGACCCCUGAUUGGCUUUGCCUUACUGCAGCUCAAAACUCCAGAGUUUAAUCCAUACAGCAGUUUCAGCUUCCCUUAGUAGCAAGGAUUCCUACCAUAUGCCACCAUGCUCAGAGCAAACUGUUUCUCUAUAUUAAUUAAAUUCACUAAUCACUGCUCACAACUCUUCUCCAUCCUUAAGCCAGGUGAACCUGCCUUGUGAAAGGCUACAUGUAUAGUAAAUAGAUCACAGUCCUUGGAUUUAGAAAUAUCUGAGGGACCUUGGGUAACUCAGUUAAUGUCUCAAUACCUCUGAGAAGCCUUCAAAACUACUAAAAAAACAAACAAACUAACAACUGAAUAUUGUUGAUCUACAUAAGUUUCCACACUGGAAGCCAAUGUAUUGUUAUUAUACAAAGGUUUCCAUACCAGGAUCUGCACUAUUGAAAUAAAAAGACUAUUUAUGUAGACCUGGAUGGAACCUUAGAUAUCAUUUAUUUUUAUCACCACCCCUCAUUUUACUCAUGAAGAAAAUGAAGCCCAGAAUCCCUCUGUGUGGGGAAUUUCUUCUCUUCUCUUUCUUUAUCUAACAUCCCUACUGCUGCUGUCAUCUUCUCUUCUCUCCCCUUUUUCUCUCCACCAUUCUCUCUUUCCCCCUCUCUCACUUUCCCUCCUCUCUCUUUUCUCUCUUCCCUAUUCUCCACCACUCUUCCCUCACCUAUCUUUCCCUCCUCCCUCUUCCUCCUCUCUCUUUCCUCUCUCCCAUACCCUCCACCACUCCUUCCUCUCCUAUCUUUCCCUCCUCCCUCUUCCUCUUCUCUCUUGUCUCUCCUCUACUCUCCACCACUUUUUCCUCUCCUAUCUUUCCCUCCUCCCUCUUCCUCCUCUCUCUUUCCUCUCUCUCCCCUACUCUUCACCAUUUUUCCUCUCCUAUCUUUCCCUCCUCCCUCUUCCUCCUCUCUCUUGUCUCUCCUCUACUCUCUACCACUUUUUCCUCUCCUAUCUUUCAUUCCUCCCUCUUCCUGCCCUUUCUUCCCAAAUCUCUCUCUCCAGUAUUCUCUCUUCUCUUUCCUUUCUCCCCCCUCCUUCACCCAUUUUUAACAGUGAAUUAGUGAAAUAGGAAUUUCUUUCAUGCUGAUGAAACCACAGGUAUGAACACAAACAAACAAAAAGUUGCCCAUAACUGUGUUAGAUGCUGUAGAGGGCCCAGAAAGAAACAAAGGACAUGGCUUCUCCAUUCAAGGAAUGGCAAAAUAACCUUCCUAGAAUGUGCUAUCCUACAGUGAACACAGUCAGAUUACAGACUCCAUUGCACAGAUAACACUGAGUCCAUGUAGGUAGAUAUCAAGAAGGAGAAUCAUUCCCUUGAAAAUCAAGAGAAUUUGUGAAGUAUAAUAAGCAUUUCACAAGUUGGUACAGGUUCUUAUCAGACAGGUUAAAGAUUUUUUGCAAAAUGAAGACUUUUGCAUGCUGGGUUGUGAACUAUCACGGUAGGCACCUACUUUGGCAGCCUCUUGCAAAAUGAUGGAUGGAUAGUCAGCAUAUAAGAGCAUGCUUCAGCAGAGUGAAGCUCAGUUUUCACAGCUGGUACUUUUUGAUUCAUUGGAUAAAAGUUUGCUUAAAACAUAGUAGGCUAUGUGUCUCCCCCCAAAUCUCACAUCAUGUCAUAGUAAAAAUGCUAUAUUUUUCCAUUGUAUAUACACUGACUUACAUAUGCAUUUUUACUUUCAUUUAAGAGACUCUCUGUCUAAACUAAAGCCAAAUUUAAUGGACUUGGUAGAAUUAGACCCUUAAGUUUUCUUUACAAAGGCCUUAAAGUUAUAUGCGUAGAUAUUUGAAGAUAAUGUGUUAUAUUACAUUGUUUCUUUUUGUCCUCCUUAUGAUCUCUGUCAGUUACACCUAAACAAAUUAAUCCAAGGGGAAAAAAAAUCUUCUCCCUUUGUUUCAUAGGCAGGACAUGAGAGACUGGAUUUGUGAUUACAUUCUCUUAGGAACUUAAGGAACCUCCCAAAUUAAUUCAGCCUGGUACUUUCUGUACCACUCAUAAUCUUAAGAGCUAACAUAGCAAUGAAAUGUAAAAUAGUGUGCUAAGUCACAGAAGUGGCACUUGAAGGGCCAGCCAAGCCUAGAAUUGGGAGGACCUGGGCUCAAAUGAGACUUCAGAUACUUCCUAGCUGUGUGACCCUGGGCAAGUCACUUAAUCCCAUAUGUCUAGUCCUUACUGCUCUUCUGCCUUGAAACUGAUACUUGUAUUGAUUCUAAGACAGAAGAUAAAAGGGGCCCUUGAAUUCAAGUCUUUCUGGUUUUGAAACUAUCUCUCUUUCUACCAUUCUCCAUUUAUACAGUUUUAUUGUCCCCUUCUUUCACUUUAUCAUAAAGGAAGAAAUUAUCCAAAAUGCAGAGGCAGAAAGGACCAGAGAAUUUCCCUAUUAUAAACUCUUUAUUUUACAGAAGAGUAACAUAAGGUCCAGAGAGCUUAAACAUCUUACCCAAGAUCAUCCUGCGGAGUAAGAUGCUCUUUCAAAUGUGCCCCACCGCUUCAUUCCCAGUUCUCUCUUUGCUUUGACUCAGUCUUUGACACUUUUGACUCUUUCACAGCUCUUUACUGGUUCCAGACCCAAGCUAUAAGGAGCCAAUUAACAAAGCAGUCAGAAAAGGGCCAUUGAUUACCAGUGGCAUGCCAGAGGCAGGGCUAGAUGCUGGUUUUAGGUAAAGUUGUGUGAAGUUCCUGCCCUGAAAGAAGGUCAGCAUUAGUGGGGACCAUCAGAGGGGAAGACAAGCAGUGGCAUGCAUAAAUAGUAAAUUCCAAAAAUGUUCUCCCAAUGAACUUGUAAAGCGGUCACCACCAGCUUGCAGUGAGGCCAGGCUGGAUUGAGUUAGAUCUUGGAAGGCUUUGGAUGCAAAGUGAAGGAAUCUGGAAUCUAUCCCUGAAAGGAUUUUUGUCCUGUUUUGGCUGGCUUUUGAGCAGGCAAGUUAUUUGAUCAAUAACAUAUUCCAGAAAGAUUAAUCUAGUGGAAGUAGGAGGAAUGGAUUAGAACUAGGGGACAAUGGAGACAGGAGGGGAGAUGAGUUAAGAAGCAAUUGCCAUAGUCUAGACAUGAGGUCAUCAGGGCAUGAACCAGUGUAGUGGUAAUGAGAAGAGAAAGGAAGAGACUAAUACAAGAGAUAUUGCCAAGGAAGAAUGGUCAGCCUUUGAUGACUGAUUAGGCAGCUGAGGGUAAUUGGGAGAGAGGGAGAGGAGAGAGGAGAGUUCACUGGGAAGAAUAAACAGACAAAAGGACAUAGGGCUGAAUUAUAA
rnacentral:lncRNA from 1 species